rnacentral:tRNA from 1 species
GAUUAUAUAAACUUUAUAGUAUUUCAUUUACACUGAAAAUAAUCUUAUAAAUUUAUAAUUA